GAGGAAGAGAAAUUUAAUUCGAAUUUAACUAAAAAUAAAUUAAAGAAUACUAACAGUGAAGGUAUUUUUGAAUAACGGAGAAAAUAUAUGUAAUGUGAAAUAACCGUUGUACUCUAAAAAUUUAAGAUGUUAAAGAACGGUGUUUAAAUAUUAUAUUUAAUAUUCUUCUUCACGUUUGGGCUCGAGACUUUUUAGUCGACCAUUAUAUUUAAUACUCCCCCUUAUGUCUGGGCUCGAGACUUUUUAGUCCGCCCAUGACGUGGGCUUGAAUUAAAUAGGAGAAAAUUAAUAUGUUAGGAGCCUGGCAUGACUCAAACUCAGGACCUCCUGCUCUGAUACCAUGUGAAACAACCGUUGUACUCUAAAAGCUUAAGCUGUUAGAGAACGUUGUUUAAACAUUUUUUAUAUUUAACACUCUCCCUCACGUCUGGGCUCGAGACUUUUUAAUCGGCUCAUGACAUGGGCUUGAAUUAAAUGGGAUGAAAUUAAU
rnacentral:lncRNA from 1 species